rnacentral:rRNA from 1 species
AUUGAACGCUGGCGGCAUGCCUUACACAUGCAAGUCGAACGGCAGCACGGGUGCUUGCACCUGGUGGCGAGUGGCGAACGGGUGAGUAAUACAUCGGAACAUGUCCUGUAGUGGGGGAUAGCCCGGCGAAAGCCGGAUUAAUACCGCAUACGAUCUACGGAUGAAAGCGGGGGACCUUCGGGCCUCGCGCUAUAGGGUUGGCCGAUGGCUGAUUAGCUAGUUGGUGGGGUAAAGGGCUACCAAGGCGACGAUCAGUAGCUGGUCUGAGAGGACGACCAGCCACACUGGGACUGAGACACGGCCCAGACUCCUACGGGAGGCAGCAGUGGGGAAUUUUGGACAAUGGGCGAAAGCCUGAUCCAGCAAUGCCGCGUGUGUGAAGAAGGCCUUCGGGUUGUAAAGCACUUUUGUCCGGAAAGAAAUCCUUGGCCCUAAUACGGUCGGGGGAUGACGGUACCGGAAGAAUAAGCACCGGCUAACUACGUG